rnacentral:lncRNA from 1 species
AAAAAAAAAAAAAAAAAAAAAGUCAAAUCCAAAUCAGUAGGCUCUAACUUCAACUUUUAGCAUCCCAAAAUUCCCUACAAAUUUAAGAGAGAAUAAAAAAUAUAUUGGACGUCGUUUACUUUAUAUAUAUUAAGUUUGAAGUUAGACGUGUAUAUAUAACUUUUUUUUCUUACACAAAGACGUUUUAUAGGAUACCUCUUCAAAACAAAUCAUAAAAUCUGAAAAGUACAAUAUGAAUUAUGAAGCAUGGAAAUAAUUUGGUUUUCUUUAUGGAUGUUCUUUUUUGGUUCUUUUUUUGAGGAAGAUUGGAUAUGUAAAACUGAUAUGUAAAUAAUUUGAGUUGGUCUAUUAACAAUAUCUCACAGUCUUCAAAAGACUGGGUACAUAAUUUUGGAAAAGUAUUAAUCUAUGCUCUCCUAAACCAAAUUAAUUAAUGAUUGCAUGCAUUUGAAUUCAUCUUAAUUGUUCAAUAUCUAAAACAAAAGGUGUAAACUGUAUACAGUAAGGAAAGGGUUAGAGUUUAUAAAUGGUGAUAUCCUAAUUAGUGUAUAAUAUAAGAAUAUGUGUAUGCAUUAAAGUUAGAUGAAUGAAGAUGAUAAAGUUUGUGAGGAAGAGGAUUUGGGUUCAAAAAAGGAAAGACAGUAAGUCUGUAGCAUUGUAAGAAAGGGCCGACACAAACUUUGAGUAGAAGCAUAGUCUUCCACAUUCAUCUCUCAUAUGUCCCUCAAAUAUUAAUUCAAUAAUCUCUUUUCUUUUUUUUAAUCUUGAAAACAUAACUAUACCACGUGUAUCAAAUACAAACAAAUACAUACUCCCUUCUCUUUCCCCUUAUUUUAACAUAUAUAUAUAUAUAUAUCUGUCUGGGUGUGUGGCUUCUGUUUUUCUUACUUCUCUACUCCUUUAAUUAUAGACCAUACACUCUACUACUGAAGUGGCCUUUCACGUCUCCACUUUUGUCCAUCAACAUUUAAUUAACACAUUCUUACUUUCAAAUAAUGUUUGAGGAAAUUAAUAGAGUUAAUUAUUCUAUCUAGAUAUAUGAUCAUAAAAUUUGUUUUCAGAACAAAUUGUAUUCUUAGUUCGGGGAAGCAAAAUUUAGAUUUUAUAAUUUUAUUAAGAGUAAUUAGAACUUAGUUUUCAUUGUUAAGAUAAAAUCUAGUAAGCAUAGUAUCUAUUAUAUAAACAUUAUUUUAUGAAGAUAUACAUGAAUUAAUUAAAUUAUAACUCUCUCCCAACUACCCUAAUCAAAUUUGGUAAUCUCAUCGAUACUUUUUAAACAAUGGGCAUGUAUUGAAAAUUGAAAAAACAAAUGAUUAUUUUAUUAAUCAUUUGGGAAAGAUAUGAAAAGAUGAGAAAAAGUAAUUUAAUUUGAUAUUUCCAGUGAAAGAAAUUUAAAGUAGCCCACUUUCUCCUCUUAAGCUUUAAUUGGAUCUUUGAAUGAAGGUUUUUUCUUUAUAGUUAACCCCCCAAAAGGCUUCUCUCCACCACUAUACAUAUACUUUAAGCUUUAAAGUAGCUGCCCUCCAAGGCAUUUCCUUUGCAAAAUGAAGGUGAGUUUAAUUUUAAACAAAUGUUGCAUGUGUUUUAUCUGUUUGUUUUCUUUUCUUUUCUUUUUCUUGAUCUCCUUUUUUUUUUUUUUUUUCUGAAUAACCCCUUUAAUUUUGGUGAUUUUGUUUUUGGGUUUCAGUUGUUGAGUUGGAUGCAAAGUAAACUCCAAGGAAAAGUAAAAUUUCAGAACAAAGGAUCAUAUAAUUCUUCAAACCCUUCAAGUAAUGUUAAUUUGCACUAUACUUUAAUUUUUUCAAGUAAUCAAAAAAUAUUUACUUUACUACUAACUCAUUAUUUUACAUUACAUGAUUAUGAUAUAUAUAUAUACAUAUGCCAUAUCAUAAACAAACCAGCUAUUGAGCAACCAGCUGAAGAAUCCAGUGCUUCCUUGCCUCUUGGGUUACUAGCAAUUGGAACUUUUGGCAACAAUAUUAACGAGUUGAAAGUAGUGAAGACCGAUGACGAAAACGCUAUCAUCGAUGCUAAAUCUACAUUGAAUGAAACCGACGAUGACAACGACGGUUCUCUUGAAGGUGUCCCCGAAUUAGAAGAGGAGUUGGCAAAACUUUGGCAGCAGAACUCUGCACUUCGUGAAGAGGAAAGUGAUGAUUUUGAUGAUGACCAAAUAGAAGAACAAAUUGUGAAAAAGAACGUUGGUUUGGUGGUGAGGGAAUGGGAAGGUGAUGUUGAGAAAAACAAUGAUCCUCGCAUAUCCAUUGUGAAGAGAUCUGUAUCAUUUUUGAUUAAGAAGAUCUUUAUAUGUGGGAGCGGUUUUGCACCGUUGCCACCGUCGCCACCGCCAAACUUCAUGGACAGACCGCAAGACGCAACGAUGAAGAAGGUACGUAAACAACCAAUAAUGUGUUAUUUCAAAAGAUAACUAUUGCCAUAGAUAUUAUUGUUAGGUUAAUGCUUGUGAAAUUGGCAAUCUAACACAAUUUUGUUUUUCGUAUUAAGUAGUAGUUCAUUUUUCUAAACAUGUAAAAUUGUUUUUCUCGAUCAUUCACGAAAAAAUCUCGAUCAGUCUCAAAUAGUGAGAUUUUUAAAAUAUUAAAAUUUUUCAACCUAUCUAUUGUUUGUGUUUGUUUGGUUUUCAUCGUGCAUGACAAUUAAACCGAUAUUCUACCGUUUUUCAAAUCUUAUUUAAUUUUUUUAUCUUUUCAAAAAGUUAUUCAAACCUUGGCAAGUCUAAUUUUUUUUUUUUUUUUUCUUUUGUAAAUUACUAUUUUUUCCAUUUCCUAAUUCCAAGAGGAGGUUUCAUGGGUUGAAUAAGAGAAAGAAUUAGGAAAAGAAAAAAUUGAUAAUUUACAAAAAAAAAAGAAAAAAAAAUAGUUGGAUUCAGGAAUAUUUGAAUAAUUUCUUGAAAAGAUAAAAUAAAUUAAAUAAGAUGAGAGAGAUUUUGAAAAAUGGUAAAUCUCGGUCUAAUUGUCUACUUAGAUGCAUCUAGAAAAUCCAAAACAGUCGAUAAGCUGAAAAUUUUAAUAUUUUAGGAAAAUGUCAGUGGUCGAUCUCGCUUGAGAUUUGUCCAGAAAAAUAGCUUUCUAAAUUUAAAAAAUAUAUACUACUUUUGAAAACACAAAUCAAGGAUGUGUGACUUUUGUCAAUUUUUCUUCAUAAUUGAAUGUAUAUAAGUAAUAACAAUUUUCAAGAACUUAAAAUAUAACAAAAUUUAUCCUUAAUAGAUUCUUAUUAGUUAUAUCACUUAAUGUGUUAUAUUUGCUAAUACUUUUAAGUUUGAUUGUUAUACUUUUAUAAUUGAUCGAGUGUAUGUAUAUAUAUAUAUAUAUAUAACUAUGGUUGAUGAAUAAUGUACCCCAAAAAUGGACAGAUGUUGAGGAUGAUGCUGCAAAAGAAAAUUUACCCUAAGAAUUCUUCUCAAAUGGCUUCAUUGAAGAGAUUCCUAAAGGAGAAAGAGAGAAGAGAUAAGAGAAAUGAAGAUGAUGAAGAUGAGAGGUAAUUAUAUGAUAAUUGGAAGAAUGUGAAUUGAAAGGGUCAGAACCCAUUGAAUAAUAAUGUAAAAUGUAGAUAGAGUAUUAUUUUAAAUAGCCAAUAGCCAUAAACUCACAUGAUCUUCUUACCCUUUUUAACAAUUGUCCCCAAGGGUUGGAAAAAAUGUACUCCAUGUAUUUUUAAUUCUACUCAGCAAGAACUAGUUUUUAAUUAUCUAUAUGGUUUAGUUAUAAUUUUCUCUUUAAAACUUUAAAUUUUAGGUGAUUUUAAUUUGGUGGUAAUCAGUAUGAUUUCAAUGUAUAAUAUAAUACUAUAUAGCAAGAUAACUUUGAUUAACUAUAUACAUUCAAUGUCGGUUAAAUACGUCGUCUUUCACAAAAUCACCAGCCCCAUUACACAAACCAUCAACAUGCAUGACAUAACAUAUUAUAAUAACUAGCAGUAAGAAAACACUAAACUUCCACUCAUUUAUUAUAAGAAUAUAUUAACACAAUUGGACUUAUUUUAAUUUCUAUAUAUUUAUCCAUUUUUUUAUAAAUGCUUUCAACCUUCAAACCAAGUUUUGAAAAUUAACUGCUCAAGAGUUCAUAUCUAAUUUUCUUCAUAAAAAUAUUGAAUGUUAAGAAAACAAACCCAAAUCUCCCAAACAAAAAAUCAAAUCAACUCAAUUUGUUAGGAAGUAAAGACCAUGUUAAUGAUUCUAUUACAAUCCACAACAUAAUUGACUCCUAACAUUAUAUUGGACCGAAUGUGGAUUCAAAAUCUAAUGUCCUAUUUGAAAUCUCAAAACUUAUAACCCGAGAUGUUUGUUUUUUGGGAUUUCAAGAUUUACAUGGAUGAACAUUUGGAUUAUCGAGUUUGUUUUUUCCGGUAAUGUAAAAUGUUAUGGUAUCUAGAGAUUAUUCUAGGGCAUCCUAGGAUGACCUUAUAGAGCAUUUCAAAAGGUUUUGAUAUCUUUUUACUUUGAGCGCAUCACGUUUUACCUUUUUAGUCCUUUUUUUUUUCAUAUAUAUGUAAACAUCGUUCUUCUUUAUUUCUCUUUUAUAAUUAACAAAUAUCGUCAACUAUGGAUUUCACUUUGUUUUGUUCCAUUUAUAGUUUUUAUUUUUUAAAAAAUAUAUUCUAAUUCAAAAUUAAACUAAUAUUUAUUUAUAAAAAUAUUUAAAUUGAAAUAUAUUAAUUUUGUCACACUCCCUCCAAAACCCUUUUCUUUCGACCUAGGAAAGCGAGAAAGUACCAUUCUACUUCUACAACACUUAUUGACAACUUGCUAAUUUACUAACUUAUAACGUUAAAGAAACUGAAUAAACAUGCAAUCUUUUAAUAUAAACAAACUUUGAACAACCGUGUAAUACUUACAAAACAUAAAACUUCAACCCAAACAACAAAAUAUACAUCACGACCCAUUCUCACAACAUGUCUGACAAAAUGUAUGAUGAAGAUGUACAAAGAACAAAAGAGUCGAGAAAAUUGACAACUCUAGGUCAGAGUCGAGAAUCAUAAUUCCUACCUGAAAAGUGGAAAACAUUUGAAAGUAUGAGUUAGAAGCCUAAUGAGUGGUUAUUUUAAUUAAAAUAUGCUUGUAAAUAAAGUAUUAAGAAAUCUCAGCAAAAACAGUAAAUAUAUAUUUAGAAAUACUUAUAAAACUUUAUCAUUAUUGUAAUACCUAUCUGACUUACUAGUAGAGUUUGCCUAAUACUUUGUCUUCGUCAUAUAUAGUCAACACAUGAGCCAAGGAUUAGUCAUAUCUUGCUCUCAAGGUGGUUCAGAGUCUUGGACUGAAGUCGAUUGAUCAGUAGGGGACCCAAUUUCCUUUUAUAGAUUUCGUCUAUAGUAGGUUUUUCAGGUAAUUUGGUUUGUAGGUAAGACUAUGGGAUGAGGAUCGAUAAAAUAACAAGGAUAGAAUCGGUAGACUCUAAGAAAUAGUUAGACUCUUCACUCACAUUCUCCCUCUAAAGAUGGCUAACGAAAAAGAAAGAUUGAUCCUCAUGAAAGGUGACAUCCAUAGUGACAAGUAUUUAUGGGAAGGAUGAUGAAAACAUUUAUAGCCCUGUUGAUGAAAAGGAUACCCAACAAACACCCGCAUUUGAGCAUGAAGGGUAAAUUUUGUUUGGUUAGGGUCAAAGCUAUGAACAUAGGUUGUACACUCAAACACUCAAAGGGAAACCUUAAAAGUGAAGUGGGUGAAGGAAUACGACUCCUUGAGAUAAUAUAAAGGAAUUUGGAGGUGGAGUGUAAACCUCGAACCCUAGAAAACUUGAGUCAUUUAAAGAACUAGAAAGGUUAGUACUUGAAUGAGUUAAGAUUGGAAAUUUACUCAAAGAAGGUCUUUGAGGGUAUGAUAUAAUUAUUGAAAAAAAGAAAAAUUAAGUUAAGGUUAUUAAGUUGAGUUUGGUUUUAAAAGUUGAAAAACAGGAAAGUUUGGAAAAUAGUUAUUGGAAGUGGUUGAGAGUUGUUGAGAAGCCAAAUAACCUCUAAGUGUGUUAGGCGAGAUGAUCAUGGGCUAGGUAAGAUAGGCUUAGGUAGGCAACCAAAGUUAAGCAAAUAACCUCCAAGGAUGAUCCUAGGUGACAAGAUUUGUGUGUGUGGCCCUAGGCAUGCAAACCUUUAAAUGAGUGUCAUUGACGACCAACAUGCAACUAGGCGAGGAAGACUUGUCUUGAGAGGUUAUUUUGGCGGUUAAGGAUUAGGCGUUUUGGCUAGACGACCAUGAGACUGGGCGAGAAGAUUGUACACAAGGAAUGCUCGUGGCUAUGUCAAAAGAGGUUAGCAAGGCGUUGAGUUGAAUUCUUAGCCGUUUUGAUUAAGGUUUAGGCGAGGAAGUAAGGCUUAUGGCUGACCUAAGCAAUUCGAUUAGGUGGAUUCUAAGUGUCCUUUGAAUGCAAGAGUUAAAAUUGCGGCAAGCUAGAGGUAUCAAGGAAUUCUCAUGCAAGACUUACUAUAAAUAGUUCACUUCAAAAGAGGAUUUCUCUCAUUCCACCUAUGCAUGUUGGCUCAAAUUAUUCUCAAAAAGUUUCUAUAUUGGAUAUAGUUUAUAUAUUGGCAUUGUUGGUCAAUUUUGAGGCGAGGAAGGUAAGAAUUGAAGAAAGGAGGAAAGGUCAUAUCAUAAGAGAAUCUAAGCAGUCUUGAGUUCCAAAGGGCUACAUAACGCAUUUCUUAGAGUUUUUAGCUGAAAUUUGAAGGUAAAGAAAAUUUUAAACACCCUUGUAGAAGGAAGUUUGCUUAUUUGAGUUAUGGAUUUUCAGAUAUUAACCUCCAAAGGUAUACUUAUGUCAGUGGUGAGAAUGGAUCCAAUGUUAGAAUGUCACAUGUCCCUGCUACUUCCUUAUCCAGAAUUUGGAUUGGAUGGCAAGGUCAAAUCAAUCGCCAACUUGCUUACAUAAGGAUGACAUCACUACUUUCCGGUGAGGGAAGCUUAAGAUGCAUAAUAGUUCGCUGUGUAGUCACUUCGUCACAUAGGCCAAUCUUGUCGCAUGAAAUAUGGUCGUGUUGUGUAGAAUGUGAUUAGAGCCUCACACUACAACUCACUAAUCUUAAACCAAUUUCGACUCCUAGUGUUCUUGGAAAACACCUAUCCAUUAUCUCCAAUGGAAUCCCCCUCUCGGAUCCUUUUACUUACCAAAGUAUAAUAGGAGCACUGCAAUAUUUAACAACCACUCGUCUUGAUAUAGCCUACAUUGUAAACCAUCUUAGUCAGUUCCUACGGAAACCAACUAGUUAGCUACAAUGGCAAGCAAUCAAACGAGUACUCCAUUAGAUUAAUGGCAUAAAGUUCGUUGGGCUUCUAUUAGAACAGGGAGUUGACUUAUCUCUAUAUGUGUCUACUCUAAUGUUGAUUGGGCAUCGAAUAUUGAUGAUCGAAAUGUCAAUUAUUGCUUAUUAUGUAUUUAUCAGCCGCAAUCUGGUUUCAUGGUCUUUCAAGAAGCAAACAGUAGUUGCUCGAUCCAGUAUAUAGGGCCCUUUUUCAUGCUAUAUUUGAGCUUAUAUGGCUCACUCAACUUCUUGAAGAAAUUGGCGUUUUCUCAAAACAAAAAACCAUUUUAUGGUGUGGUAAUCUCAGCACUAGCACACUUGCAGUUAAUCAUGUUUUUCAUGCUCGUACCAAACACAUUGAUUUUGUUCAUGAUCAAGUUCUCCAAGCUAAUCUUACAGUUCACUAUGUACCCUCUUCUGACCAAUUAGCUUACUACCUCACAAAAACCCUCACGCAUUCUCAAUUUCAAUAUCUUCGUUCCAAACGCGGAGUGAUCACUUUACCUUCUCGUUUGAGGGGGCAUGUUAGAGAAUAAUUCCAAAAGUUUUUAUUGGUUAAAAUGAAUUUUACCACAACCAAUGGUUCUCUUCCAUCUGUAUUACCAUUAUUGUAUCGAUUUUUUAUCAAUAAGAAAAGUGAGAAAGAUUUUCUCCCAAGAUUUCAGUAUUCUUCAGACCCUACUUCUGUGAACCAAAGUGCAAAUUUCUUCUUUUCGUUUGUUCCACUUUGUCUCCUAUUCCAAUUUUCUACUUUUUUUUAUUGGCAUAAGGACUACCUUCGAUUAGCUCUGAAACUUUUGGCUCUAAUAAUCUCAAAAGAGGUUGAACUUGCAAACAGUAGUAACUCUGUCACACUUGUUGUGAAUGCAUUGUGCAUUAUCCAAGCGUGUCAAUAUAACUACUGAGGAAGGCCAUAGAUGUAUGUCGUUGACAAUUAAUGUGUGGCAUUCCAUGAAAUGAAGAUAUUAUCGAAAAAAGAUCUAAGUAGUCCCGUUGAAAAAAAUUUACAUCUUUCUCUUUUUUUUUUUUUUUUUUGUGAGUUGGUCCAUCUGUUGCAUUUUUUGUCCUAAAACUCGUAGUUUGUAGUUUAAAUUAUAUUCUAUUCGAUAAAAUGGUUAUUGAAAACUUAUUAGUGAAAAUGAAAUACUAUAGUUCUGAAUCAAGUAAAACUAAGAUCCCGAGGUUAUCUAAUGAAGACUUGAACUUUAUGUAGAAAAUGAAAUACUAUAGUUUGAGUAUAUAACCCAAACGAUCUAUAUAUGAAUAAGGUUGUGCGCCUUAUUCAGUGGACACUAUGGUUGCGGCUCGCUUUGUAUUAGUACAAACAAUGUGAUCCUAAAUCAUUCAUGUAGAGACAUCAAAGUUGAGGCAUUCUAUGUAAAGAGUUUGAAUAAGACUAGAACUAUGAAAUAGUCACUUUUAGUUAUAAUACUGUUGACUAUUUAAAACUUACUAUUUCGAUUAUUGUGGACCUAUGUAACUUAAUCUUAAUCAUGAGCUAACUAUGAAUUUCUAUUCAAAUGGAAUUAUCCUUAGAUCUACAUAGAUGAGGACAGCUCAACAACACUGGCUCCAUAAACCUUCCAUUUCAUGGGUAAAACCGGAUGGAUGGCUAGGGAUAUAAGAUACAAGAUGAAAUUCACUCCUACAUGUUUUAGGUUUAGUAGAUAGGUUGUUUCCUUAAGGACUAAAUCCAAGUCUUGAACAUGGAGCACCACCCUCUCAUUGACCCGAGAGAGAUUUGGUUGAUAGGUUGGACAUUAAAUCAAUUGUUCACUAGUGGAUCGGUGAGACUUAAGGAGAAAAAUGUUGUCUUGAAGGUAAAACGAUAUUUUGACCCAGUCGAGAUUAUGAACAACCUAUGAAUGAUUACUAAUCAUGGUUAAAUUAGAUGGACACAAAUACAUCUAUAGUAAGGGGAGUGCAACUACGAAAUUUUAUUGUAAUGAUCCGUUAGUUAACGAAUGUUGAUUAGCUUGGUCUAAAGGGAUUUAGCCAGUUAAUCUUGGAUCUUUGGAGCCCAUGAUCUAUAGAUCCAUUAGCUUUCUCUGCUAGCUCAUAUGAAAUUAACUUAAAACAAUAUAUUGGAAUAAAUCGAAUUGUUCGAAUUAGAUAAAGAGAAAGAAACCGACAAAUAUAUGUGAUAUAAACGUUGGUUCUAAGUUUGAGAUAGAGCUUUAUGUUUAAAUAUGAUUUAACUAUAAAAAAAUAUGAAGGUGGAUUCAUAUUUAGAAGCUCGAAAUUGAUGAAAAUUGUCAAAGUUGUAAGAAGUCAAAAUGUUGAUUUUUCAAUUUGAAAAGUCAAACUUUGACAGCCUUUAUAUUCAAAUGCAAUUUGAAUUUCGUAAAAAUGAAUGCGGGUUCAUACUCGAGAGAUUAGAAUUAGUCAAGAUAAACAAAAUGGCAAAAAGUCAAAGUUUAAUUUUAACUUGAAAGGUCAAAUAAUCAUGUUGCCCUUUGACUAGAGUUAGCGGGAGAAUCGAGCAUUUAGUAGGACAAGUUUACAUGUGAUGUAAACACUAAGCCCACUAAGGCUAAGUGGAAUGAGAGUUGUUAAUCUAAGGUGACGUCUUUACAUGCAUUUUGCAUGUUAGUAUUUUAUAAAAGGUUUUGAAAAAUCAUUUUCCAAUAAUAUUUUAUAACUUUUUUGAAAUUAUUCAAUUUUUUUCACAUCUCUAAUACGAAAAAGUUGGUUCUCUCAAGUUCAAUUUCCAUAUCUCUCUCCUUCAAUUUCUUUCACUCAUCCAAUCAACACUAGUAGUGGUUCUCAAUUUGAGUUUAUAAGAACAUUAUGAGAAUUGAAAAGCUUCAAAGUUACGUUUUAUAUUAACCCUAAAUUCAUUUAAUUAAAGUUGUUGCAUGUUAAUUACUAAAUUGUUUAAUUACAAUUAGGGUAAAAUUGAUCCUGUUAUUUCCAUUGCGCAUUUCUCGUGUUCCAUCACUAUCGAUCUCCAUAUCGAGUUCUUUUUUUAUGGAUUGUUGUUUCAAGUGUUACUCCAAUCGGACUUAUGUUAAGAUAUGAAUUGACUAACAGGAAAGUGCCUACUUUUAUGGUUUUAAAAUAAACUAAAAAAUCCAAACUAAAUGAGGUAGUAAUUUUAAUUGACAAAUCAUAACUAAAAAUCUACAAUUUUGUUAAGUCUACAAUUUUGUAAAGAAUAAAUUGGAAGACUGUAUUGAUCAACUUUUGUACUGGUUAUCAUUCAAAUACAAAAUUUUAAUCAAAAAUAAAAUAAUUUGAGGGGAAUAAUUUAUUGGAAAAGGGAUUAUGGGUUACGCUGUGAAUGGAUGGGAGAGAGUUAUUUAUAAGGUUAAUUAGAGUGAGAGUUCGAGGAAAUAUCAUUCCAUGUGAUCGAAUUGAGAGACUGACAAUGAAUUUCCAAAACCAAAUACGUAUUCCACAAACUGUUGGGUUAAUUAGAGACCUUGGCCUUUUCUAUAUUCGCGAAUAUCUUGACCGUAAUUACAUGAACAUCCUCUCUUUCAAAUUUCUUGCUUUCCUUUCCACUACUUUUCUUAAUUCUAUUGCCAUUUCACAUACACAGGCAAAGUACUUGUACUGCUUCUUGAUGGCCGAUCUAUCCUUGGCUAUCUGCGUUCCUUCGAUAAUUAUGGUAUUACUAUUACAUUCUUCUUUCUUUCUUUCUUUCUUUCUUUCUCUCUUAUAUUGAUCUUUUUUUUAAAAUAGGGAAUAUCAUUCUUGAGACUGCUUUCGAAAGAAUUGUUGUUGGCAAUCAGUAUUCUGAUAACCCCAUGGGUCGUUUUUUGAUUAUUUUUUCCAAGAAUAUUGUUCUAAUUGGGAAACUCGUAAUCUCGUUUCUCUCCCACCUUAAUUUCAUUACAAUUUCCCCCCUCCUUUUCUUGUUUCUAGUCUCAGUUAACUUCUUAAUUUCAGGAGCCCCGGUUGUACCAAAUACCUCCACAUAUCACUCCUGUCUCACUCCUUCAGAUUCUAAUUGUAAGUAACUAUCGAACACUACAACACAAUGAAACAAACUUAACCCCGACUUUCAUACUUGUUUACAACAACCUUUCUUCCCCUACUACUACAACUUUACUAAACCAAAUAUUUUAUUAAGUCAUUCCAAAUAAUGAAACAACUAACUUUUAACAUAAUUUUGAACAACCUUACAUUCAAAGCAAUUCUUAAACCCUGCCUGCUAAUGUAUGUAGGCUAGAAAAGAAGAAAUGGAUUUAUUAGCGCUUGAAAGAAGAAUUAAGGUAUGGAUGGAGGAGCUCCUUGAAGAUACAUGAUUCAUGGGAAAUAAUCUGUUACUUCUCCAAGAAAUCAAAUCUUGAGAGUCCCAUCAUUUCCAAGUUUUUUUUUUCCUUCUUUCUUUUUGUAUUAAAUUUUCUAUUACAAUGAAUGAAAAGUCCCUUGAGAAAUCAAUUAUCAUAUAUUCAACACUCAACGGGUAAAAGGGUUAUUUCCAAAAAAAUGUUUAAGAGAAAAAAGGUAAAAUUUUCAUAGGGCUUAACUUUGAUCUUAAAUUUUUAGGAUGGAGAGAUUACCUAUAUAAAGUGUUAGAAGGUAAAAUUAUGGUCCCCUGUGGUGAUUUCUGAGUCCAUCCUGUAUACAACUAAAGAAAAUUAGCAACCUUUAUUUCCUUUUGAAAAAAGUAUAUCAUUAUUCAUUAUUCCACAAUUAGAGAGCUUUUUUUUCCAACUCAAUAGCAUUACCAUUACCAUCCAAUAACCUGUCGUUUCCCAGGAGCCUUUUGGAACGCUUAAAGCAAAAUACUACGUGGCCACUGAGUCACCAAAGUAGAAAAAAUGAUGGAUCAUAACCAAUCAAAUCCAAGAAUUAACUGUUCUUUACGUGAGAUAGGCCUAUAAUCCAUCCAUCAAUUACAACCAAACAGAUCACUUCUCUUCUUUUUUUGGAUAUUAGUUCCAUUAUUAUCUUCAAUACUUCUUUAAAACAAUAGUUAAAGAGAGCAAAAGAUGAAGACCAAAAUGAGAAAUUAUUCUAACAUGACUACUAUAAGAGGAUUGUUUCGUAAGAAUGGAAUUCUACAAUUUGUUUGUAUGCUUCCUAAUAAUUAAUAACCACUGAUACUUUUACUAUUUCUCUCUCAUGCUUCUAAAAUGUAGACAGUCAAGUGAUUUCCUAAAAUAAUUUCUCAAAUAGAAAAGUCUGCUGUGUGAUGAGCUUACUCUAGAAAUGGUAGGAGACAUCAAUGAACAACUAUAUUGUGUAAAAAGAAAAAUAAAUAAAUAAAGUCUCAAGGUUGCAGGUGCGCAACUCACUCAUUUAUUCAACUGCCAGGAGGGGGAAAAAAGGCUGAACAAUCGUAGAUGACUGUACAAUCACAAUAAUUUACAAGUACAUAUAUCUCAUCUAUUACAGUAUAUUAACAAAUUAUUAUUUUUCCUUUUUAGUGCAAACAACACUAAGACUAGGAAUAGGAGGAAUCUAUUAGAACAGCCUGGGAAUGUGUAAACUGAAUCCAUGAUGCCUACGUUUGAAGGUGCACAAUGAAAGGAGCAGAUUUAAGAUUUCUGGGCAGGUGAAAAAGCAAAUGUACAAAUGCAACUAAAAAGCAAGAAUAAAGACCAUUUGUACCGUACUCGACAAUGCACAGAACAUUUCUACAGUUCAAUUUCAUAAUAAAAAAUGCCCCUGCUGAUAUGACCAAGGCCAUGCAUCGGUUAAGCGUUAAAAAAUGCAAAAAAGUACCCUAAAAUAGAAUUGUAAUUACAAUUAUACCCUCAAACUUUGAAUUGUAAUAAUUGAGCCCUUCAACUCAUAUAAGUCUUAAAAUUGGACUCUUGAACUUCAUAAGAAAUUGUGUCCGUUGUACAAGUAAUGAAGUUUCAAUUUUCAUCAUUUACAGUCCAAUUUUUACAACUAUUUUUGAGUUCGAGGGUCCAACUUUAACCCUGGUAGAAAUUUGAGGGUCUUGAAAGUUUGAGAGUAUAAUUGCAACUACCAUCAUACUUUCAUGGCUGGUUUUUGCAAUUUGUGAAAGAAACAAACAGCUAUUGAUCUACAUCUCCACUAAUAUGAUCAUCAAUUCUAUUAGAAGUAGAACAGGUUAUAAAUAAAUUAUGUGCAACAUGUGUUCAUUAUAGAAACGUAAAGGUACCAAAUAUACAAUUAAAGAUAUCCUCAUUAGACGGCAUCUUGAACACAAGUUUAACUUGUCAAAGUAUCACCUAAGUUUCUAAAGGUGCUAGGUUGGAGUGCCCAUGUCUUGAAAGAUACUCAAGAAAAUGGUCCAAAGGAACUAUCAGAAUCCAGGCCGGUGAGUGACUGAGAGAGACAAUUCCACUCUCAAUUUCCAAGGAAAAGAAUUGCUCUGUAUUCAAAUUUUAACGUUAUCCUUUCUUCUGGCUUAACAUAUCGUUCGCUAUUUAUAUGUCAUGUCUAGCUCUGUUCUAUAAACUAGGUGUCUCAAUCAGAACUUCGUUCAUAAAUAAAACUAAAUCAGAAUCAGAACUAAGAACUAAAUGAACUAAUUGAGUUUAACCAAACCACUUAAGCCCCUGAUAAAGAACAGAAAAAACAGCUUAAUAAUCUAACAGCAUUGUAGUAUAAUCUGAAACCACAUCAUAGGAUUUCGAAUACUGCCAGAAGUUAUAGCCAACUAGCGUCUAACAAGAAACUAUUUGAUAAAAGAUUCUCAAACUUUUCAGAUUCGAUAUGAAACUUGACUCGAAUAGUGAAUAUCUCAAGAUGAGUUGUGUUGGGUUCAAAUUAGACAUUACUUCAUGCUCUUACUUUGCCAACCGUAAAGCCUUCCAAAAUCUUCGUCGAUUGAAUACAGAACAAAAAGAGAUAGACAACUAAAUAUGUUCGGGAAGAGGAAAAAUUCUAGACUGUCAAGGAUUAUCAGUGACUGUGUCUCCAAGAUUAGAACAGAAAUACAGCAUGGUACAGAAAAAAAAAAAUACAUCAUGGUGCACGACUUGAAUGCUUUGCUUGGAAGGAGACAGCCAGAUAAUUUAGAUGUGAAAUAAAUAAUAAGAAAUGAAAAGCACACAAAGAACAAUUCCAAUAUGAACAGAAAUUUAGAAAAAAAAAUGUGGUAAGAAAAACAAGUAACAUGCUUACAAGGCAGGAGAAUUCAGGCUGAGGAUAUGGCUCCAUUGGAAAUAUAAAGUAGCAGAUCA